GACAUGGGCUGCAGCAAUGGAUGCUUC
rnacentral:piRNA from 1 species